GGAUCGGAGUCUGCAACCCGACUCCGUGAAGCUGGAUUCGCUAGUAAUCGCGCAUCAGCCAUGGCGCGGUGAAUACGUUCCCGGGCCUUGUACACACCGCCCGUCAAGCCAUGGAAGCCGGGAGUGCCUGAAGUAUGCAACCGCAAGGAGCGUCCUAAGGUAAAACCGGUGACUGGGGCUAAGUCGUAACAAGGUACC
rnacentral:rRNA from 1 species